UACGUAGGUGGCAAGCGUUGUCCGGAAUUAUUGGGCGUAAAGCGCGCGCAGGUGGUUUCUUAAGUCUGAUGUGAAAGCCCACGGCUCAACCGUGGAGGGUCAUUGGAAACUGGGGAACUUGAGUGCAGAAGAGGAAAGUGGAAUUCCAAGUGUAGCGGUGAAAUGCGUAGAGAUUUGGAGGAACACCAGUGGCGAAGGCGACUUUCUGGUCUGUAACUGACGCUGAGGCGCGAAAGCUAGGGUAGCAAACGGG
rnacentral:rRNA from 1 species